GAUGAACGCUGGCGGCGUGCCUAAUACAUGCAAGUCGAGCGAACAGACGAGGAGCUUGCUCCUCUGACGUUAGCGGCGGACGGGUGAGUAACACGUGGAUAACCUACCUAUAAGACUGGGAUAACUUCGGGAAACCGGAGCUAAUACCGGAUAAUAUAUUGAACCGCAUGGUUCAAUAGUGAAAGACGGUUUUGCUGUCACUUAUAGAUGGAUCCGCGCCGCAUUAGCUAGUUGGUAAGGUAACGGCUUACCAAGGCAACGAUGCGUAGCCGACCUGAGAGGGUGAUCGGCCACACUGGAACUGAGACACGGUCCAGACUCCUACGGGAGGCAGCAGUUGGGAAUCUUCCGCAAUGGGCGAAAGCCUGACGGAGCAACGCCGCGUGAGUGAUGAAGGUCUUCGGAUCGUAAAACUCUGUUAUUAGGGAAGAACAAAUGUGUAAGUAACUAUGCACGUCUUGACGGUACCUAAUCAGAAAGCCACGGCUAACUACGU
rnacentral:rRNA from 1 species